CUCGAUCACUCCUACGGGAGGCAGCAGUGGGGAAUAUUGCACAAUGGGGGAAACCCUGAUGCAGCCAUGCCGCGUGUGUGAAGAAGGCCUUCGGGUUGUAAAGCACUUUCAGUAGGGAGGAAGGUAGUGUAGUUAACACCUGCACUAUUUGACGUUACCUACAGAAGAAGCACCGGCUAACUCCGUGCCAGCAGCCGCGGUAAUACGGAGGGUGCGAGCGUUAAUCGGAAUUACUGGGCGUAAAGCGCAUGCAGGCGGCCUGUUAAGUCAGAUGUGAAAGCCCGGGGCUUAACCUCGGAAUUGCAUUUGAAACUGGCAGGCUAGAGUCUUGUAGAGGGGGUAGAAUUUCAGGUGUAGCGGUGAAAAUGCGUAGAGAUCUGAAGGAAUACCAGUGGCGAAGGCGGCCCCCUGGACAAAGACUGACGCUCAGAUGCGAAAGCGUGGGGAGCAAACAGGAUUAGAUACCCUGGUAG
rnacentral:rRNA from 1 species